rnacentral:pre_miRNA from 1 species
AGAGCUGUAGAGUUUGGAUAUGUUUGAGAUAUAGAGCUAGGCUCGUAGUCUACUAGCCUAGCUCUAGAUCUCAAACAUAUCCAAACUCUAAAGCUCU